UACCCGCAGCCCAAGUGGUGGUCGCGAUUAUUGGGCCUAAAGCGCUCGUAGCCGGGCUGGCAAGUCCCCUGGGAAAUCUGGCGGCUUAACCGUCAGGCGUCCAGAGGAUACUGCCAGGCUUGGGACCGGGAGAGGUGAGAGGUACCUCAGGGGUAGGGGUGAAAUCUUGUGAUCCCUGAGGGACCACCAGUGGCGAAGGCGUCUCACUAGAACGGGUCCGACGGUCAGGGACGAAAGCUGGGGGCACGAACCGG
rnacentral:rRNA from 1 species